rnacentral:rRNA from 1 species
GUCAACGCCCUAAAACGAUGUCAACUAGGUGUUGGGUGGGUAAAACCAUUUAGUACCGGAGCUAACGCGUGAAGUUGACCGCCUGGGGAGUACGGCCGCAAGGUUAAAACUCAAAGGAAUUGACGGGGACCCGCACAAGCGGUGGAUGAUGUGGAUUAAUUCGAUGCAACGCGAAAAACCUUACCUACCCUUGACAUGUCCAGAAGCCCGAAGAGAUUUGGGUGUGCCCCGAAAGGGAACUGGAACACAGGUGCUGCAUGGCUGUCGU